rnacentral:lncRNA from 1 species
UGAUGUUUAAGCAAGAUUUAUUAACACAGGGAAAGAGUAGGGUAGUGGCAGACAACCCUAGCUUUGUGGCUUCCAGCAGUUCUUUUUCCUUCUGGUUACAUCAGCCUCAACCAUUCCUCCCUUACAUUCUAUAUUUGCAUUUUUAUUAGGCUGUGCCAUCCUCAAGCUUGGGAGUGGACCUGAGAUUGGCAAGAAAAUCAGCAUAUUUUAUCCUCCUCUUCGCCAUAGAGAUGGGUGCAGGGAUAGCCACAUGACCCACACCUAUUCAAUCAGAGCCUUUUGUUCUGGAAAAAAAAAAAAAAAAAAGUGAAAGAGGAGCUCGAUUUCCCUGCUCUAUUUAGUAAGCUGGCAAGUGCACAGCAAAUGCUCUUGAUGGUCAUCUUUUCCAUAUGAGGGAAGAGUUUCUGUAGGGUGAAGCCAAUGUAGAAGGACUUGAAGCCAAGGAGAUGGGGACCUACAGAGUCUUAAAGAUGUUGUUUGAGACUCUAGAUUCAGCCACACCAGAAGCCAGCUCCAUUUAGAUUUUUCCAUUUAGGUACAUAAUAAAUUAUCUUUGUGCUUAGACCAGCAUGAAUCGAAUUUCUUUCACUAACCCUGAUGGAUAUCAGGGUGGGCUAAGGAGCUAAGUAGUAUGGCACUGGGAAGAAGACAAGAAUGAACCUAGAAUUUUGGGGGACUGCAGCAGAGAUACUGAGAACCUUAUAGCAGGGGUGGUUUGGCAGGAGCAAUGUGAAAUGAAGUCUAUGAAUAGAUUUUUUGCCAGAUCUUGGACUGUUUGUUUCAGAAGGCCAAGAUGUUUGAAUUUUUUUCUUGAAGACAAAGACUGAAGAGGUACCUGAGCUGGGCUGGUGCAGCUUCAGCUUUUCAGAGAAUGCAAGUUAAUGUGGCAGCAAAUCUUUUACAGAGAACUGAUCAGAGAUCCCCCAAAAGUAAGGGGUGAGUUAGUCAUUGAUAUGGUUUGAAUCUGUGUCUCCACCCAAAUCUCAUGUCAAAUUGUAAUUCCCAGUAGUGGAGGUGGGGCCUGGUGGAAGGUGAUUGGAUCAAGGAGGUGGAUUUCUUGUGAAUGGUUUAGUACCAAUCCCUUGGUGCUGUUCUCAUGAUAGCGAGUGAGCUCUUGCAAGAUCUGGUCGUUUGAAAGUGGAGCAUCUUUCCCCUCACUCUCUCUCUCUCCUGCUUCUGCUUCUGCCAUGUAAGACGUGCCUGUUUCCCUUUCACCUUCUGCCAUGAUUGUAAGUUUCCUGAGUCCUCCUUGGAAGUCAAGCAGUUUCCAGCAUCAUGCUUCCUGUACAGCCUGCUGAACUGUGAGCCAAUUAAACUUCUUUUCUUUAUAAAUUACCCAGUCUCAAGUAUUUCUUUAUAGCAAUGUGAGAAUGGACUUAUACCGUCAUUGAUUGCUCUAGCUCUGCUGUUAGCAGUGCCCUAAUUGACAAAAUCUUGCACCAGGUGUUGCAACAAUGGCUUCAUCUCAGGCAACCUGUUAGAGGGGCUAUGGAGAUUUCUCUUUCCUUUGUAGAAAGCGAUUCAUAACAGGCUCUGUUUUGGGUGCUAAGGUCUGGUCUGUCCGGUUCGUUAAUUCUCAGCAGGGUGACUUCCCAUUUGUAACAUGCUUGCCUUGCACAGGACUUUUGACUUGAGUCCCAGCUUUUAAUAGCUUCUGCCUCAGCUCCCUCCAGUGUUCGGAUUCUGUUUCUCAAUAGCCAGGAAUAGUUAGGAAUGCUUUCACCUCAGCCUCCUGUCGGGCCUCAGAGUGAACCAGGUCAGAAACGACGUCUAUUUCUCUCCAUUAUCCCACAGAUAUCCGGAGCACGUUCUCACCCACAGGACUUCUCAGUCUGGAAAGACUUUUCCCAUGCAGUUUGUUAAUCCAAGCUGUGCCAUUGACUUGGACAAGUCACUUUGCUACCCUAAGCCUCUGAGUCCCCAUCAACAAAAUGGAACUAGCUGUUUUAUUAAAAAAAAUAAGUAAAUCUCGUUGACCAUCAGGGAGGUGACAAGUCACAGAGCUGAAACGAAGGUAGCUUGGAUUCCACUCCAUUCUGGGUUGGGAAGUUGGGUGCUUCCCACUGGGCAGUUCUUGAAGCUCCCUUCUCUGAAAGUGGGGAUGAAGACAUGGAUAAAGGUCCUUAAGACAUAAGAGCUCCUUCCAGUCUCGUGGGUCUUCUCGGCAGAACCCUUGCUUGGCUGGAAUUCCAUCCACUCUCUGCAAGGCAUAACUUCCUGUUUCCUAGGGAGAGGGCCAAAAUCCCCGCAUUUGUAAACAGCAGUUUGAGGUUUAUGAUGAUUGCGUCCCGGGCUGGGUUCCUUUCCCUCUUUGCUCCUUCUGCUUCUGCAAAAAUAGCAUCCCAAUCAGGUCCACACAAUCAGUGACUGUCAAGUGCCAGGUUUAUCCUAGGGAUUUCAGCAAGUGCUACAUUUAGUAAGGUGGGCAGCACCACCCCUGCUUUAAAAUAAGAGAAUCGAAGUCCAGGACAUUCGGCCCAAGGCUGCUUAGCUGGUAGGUGCCAGGGUUGGCAUGGGAGGCCAGGGCUUCUGAACUGAAGUCUGGAGAUCUUUCCACCAUAAAGGAUGCAUUUCUAUUCCUCAGUUUCAGAGAAGGCUAAGAAAGGUAUCUGUUUAUCUGGAACUGCUGUAAGGUGGUCUACCAGGAGGCUGGAGGAGGGGCUAAUGCAGCCAUUUUCAUGGUGGUCCCAGAGAAGUGCUUGGAAUUCCCCAUGGUUCCUUGGGGAGUUCUUCAUGUCUGAUGUUAUCAGCCUUAGAGAUACCCUUGCCUAUGCCUUCUUGCUUAGAGGGGAAACAGGUCUGGAAAGAAG